GAUGAAGAACGCAGCGAAAUGCGAUAAGUAAUGUGGAUUGCAGAAUUCAGUGAAUCAUCGAAUCUUUGAACGCACCUUGCGCCUUUUGGUAUUCCGAAAGGCACACCUGUUUGAGCGUCAUGAAUACCUCAAUCUCCAUCUUUUCUUCGGAUUGAUGGGUGACUUGGAUGUUGAGCCCUGCUGGUAUGCUAUAUCAGCUGGCUUUAAACUUAUUAGCCGGCUCUGUACUGGAUCGGUUUGACUCGACGUGAUAAUAUUAUCGUUGAGGAUGCAUGUCUCAUGCAGCCGGAAAGUAUCAAAGCAGCUUCUAGCUUGCCUUUAGUGCACUUUUACAUUUUAGACCUCAGAUCAGGUGGGACUACCCGCUGAACUUAAGCAUAUCAAUAAGCGGAGGA
rnacentral:misc_RNA from 1 species